UACGGGGGGGGUAAGCGUUGUUCGGAAUUACUGGGCGUAAAGCGUGCGCAGGCGGGUUUGUAAGUCUGUCGUGAAAGCCCCGGGCUUAACCUGGGAAUUGCGAUGGAGACUGCAAGGCUUGAAUCUGGCAGAGGGGGGUAGAAUUCCACGUGUAGCAGUGAAAUGCGUAGAGAUGUGGAGGAACACCGAUGGCGAAGGCAGCCCCCUGGGUCAAGAUUGACGCUCAUGCACGAAAGCGUGGGGAGCAAACAGG
rnacentral:rRNA from 1 species